GGAGAGGUGGCUCAGCGGGUAAGAGCACUGGCUGUUCUUCCAGAGGACCCGGGUUCAAUUCCCAGCAUCCACA
rfam:Neotoma lepida isolate 417 scaffold_87, whole genome shotgun sequence.